GUUGCACGAAAUCUGGCCUAAGGGCCAUAGGCUGGUGGUUAAAUAACCACCAGCCU
rnacentral:sRNA from 1 species